UUUAUGGAGAGUUUGAUCCUGGCUCAGAGUGAACGCUGGCGGCGUGCCUAAUACAUGCAAGUCGAACGAUGAAGCUUCUAGCUUGCUAGAAGUGGAUUAGUGGCGCACGGGUGAGUAAGGUAUAGUUAAUCUGCCCUACACAAGAGGACAACAGUUGGAAACGACUGCUAAUACUCUAUAC
rnacentral:rRNA from 2 species